UUUUGGCAGUCAUAGUGCAAUGGAACCACCUAACUCCUUGCCGAACUUAGAAGUGAAACGUUGUUACGCCGAUGGUAGUGUGGGGAUUCCCCAUGUGAGAGUAGGUCACUGCCAAAUAU
rnacentral:rRNA from 1 species